rnacentral:rRNA from 1 species
UCGGCCCUACGGGCGCAGCAGUGUGGGAUAUUGCACAAUGGGGGGAACCCUGAUGCAGCGACGCCGCGUGAGCGAAGAAGUACCUCGGUAUGUAAAGCUCUAUCAGCAGGGAAGAAAAUGACGGUACCUGACUAAGAAGCCCCGGCUAAAUACGUGCCAGCAGCCGCGGUAAUACGUAUGGGGCAAGCGUUAUCCGGAUUUACUGGGUGUAAAGGGAGCGCAGGCGGCCUGCCAAGUCUGGUGUGAAAACCCGGGGCCCAACCCCGGGCCUGCAUUGGAAACUGGCGGGCUGGAGUGUCGGAGGG